AACGAACGCUGGCGGCAUGCCCAACACAUGCAAGUCGAACGAGACCUUCGGGUCUAGUGGCGCACGGGUGCGUAACGCGUGGGAACCUGCCCUUAGGUUCGGAAUAACUCCCCGAAAGGGGUGCUAAUACCGGAUAAUGUCUUCGGACCAAAGAUUUAUCGCCUUUGGAUGGGCCCGCGUUGGAUUAGCUAGUUGGUAGGGUAAAAGCCUACCAAGGCGACGAUCCAUAGCUGGUCUGAGAGGAUGAUCAGCCACACUGGGACUGAGACACGGCCCAGACUCCUACGGGAGGCAGCAGUGGGGAAUAUUGGACAAUGGGCGAAAGCCUGAUCCAACAAUGCCGCGUGAGUGAUGAAGGCCUUAGGGUUGUAAAGCUCUUUUACCCGGGAUGAUAAUGACAGUACCGGGAGAAUAAGCUCCGGCUAACUCCGUG
rnacentral:rRNA from 1 species